rnacentral:rRNA from 1 species
AUUGAACGCUGGCGGCAGGCCUAACACAUGCAAGUCGAACGAGUGGCGGACGGGUGAGUAAUGUCUGGGAAACUGCCUGAUGGAGGGGGAUAACUACUGGAAACGGUAGCUAAUACCGCAUACCAUCGGAUGUGCCCAGAUGGGAUUAGCUAGUAGGUGGGGUAAAGGCUCACCUAGGCGACGAUCCCUAGCUUGUCUGAGAGGAUGACCGGGCACACUGUAAAUGAGACACGGUCCAGACUCCUUCGGGAGGCAUGAGGGGGGAAUAUUGCACAAUGGGCGCAAGCUGGAUGCAGCCAUGCCGCGUGUAGGAAGAAGGCAUUCGGGUUGUAAAGUACGUUAAGCGGGGAGGCGUGACCCGCAGAAGAAGCACCGGGUAACCCCGUGCCAGCAGCCGCGGUAAUUC